GAAGGGUCGGAUUGUUUAUGCACUUGCUUCGUGGAAGCCUGAUUAUUAAGUGUCCUCCGUUCCAUAUUGAUAUGCAGGAUCAUAAGUUUCUAUUUGUGGUCUAUUUCCUGCCCUUGUGCAGUGAUGGUUUCUAUCAUGGAUUUCUGAUCAAUGAAUUUAAGAUAAAAGUUCUCUCUUCCUUGCCCUGCCAUUGGUAUUCUAGUUAUGGGCUUAUGAACUCGAAAUUGAUAACUGUUUUACAUACUUGCUGAGCAGGAAAUCUGGAGUGGAAUUUUGGCUGCUGCUAAUAUGAUGCAAUUACAAUGGCAAUUUUUUACUUGCAUGUAGCAACUGCAACUGUCAAUUCGACAAGGAGAAAGAUUCAUUUAAUGUCCAUGGCACCUGACCAAUCUUAUAUCUUGAGUGGGAAUCGUUUUAAAACUGUGAUGCUGGAAAAAGAAAAGAGAAGGGGAAAGGAAAAUGAUACCUGAUCACUAUUUCAAGGUUUCAAGAAAAGCAUAUCUAAACUAGUUAUUAUAUUUAGGUUAGCUGCAGUGUUUUAUAGGAUUUUAUAAUGAUUUGAGGAUCCUCUAAAUUAGAGCCUUAGCCUUGUAUGGGAUUUAAGCUGUCUCUAUAUAUAUUGCUCUCUAAAUAUGUAUUCUUUUUUUUAUCCUAUCAAUUUUAUCAAUGUUACCCUUAUCAGCGGCUUUCAUGCCUGUUGUGUUUUUGUUUUUUAAGCAGUCCCUAUAUAUAUUGCUUUCCAA
rnacentral:misc_RNA from 1 species